UUAGUGUAUCAAAAAAGAGGAGGUGGCGACUGUUUACUAAAAACACAGGACUCUGCUAAAUUGUAAAAUGAUGUAUAGAGUCUGACGCCUGCCCAGUGCUGCAAGAUAAAGUAUUACAAGUCUCGCUUGUUGAUAUAAGUCCCAGUAAACGGCGGCUGUAACCCUGACGGUCCGAAGGUAGCGAAAUUCAUUGGCGGGUAAGUUCCGUCCUGCAUGAAUGGCGUAACGACUGCCUCACUGUCUCCAGCUACAAUCCAGUGAAAUUGAAGAAUAGGUGAAAAUGCCUAAUAUGAACAGCGGGACGGAAAGACCCUAUGCACCUUUACUAGAACCUUAAAUUAUAUUGAAUUUUAAUGCUGCGCGGUAGGCGUUUGCUGAUAACCGUGUGUGUUAAGAUUCAACAUUUAAUGAUGUAUAAACGUAAAUUAGAUAAAAUCUAUUUUCAUUAUAGUUUAAGGAUGCUAGUUUCGCUGGGGCGGUGACCUCCUAAAAAGUAACGGGGGUGCGCAAUGGUUUAGUAAAGCAUACGUGUAUGCGAGUAUUGUAAUGAAUUAAACUAAGCUUGAUUUUAAAAUUUACCGAUUUUAAAAGGGUGAAGAAAUUCGCCUGCCAUAGUGACCCGAUAGUUAACAUUUAUUGAUAAAGCUAUCGAUUAACGGAUAAAAGGUACGCUAGGGAUAACAGGCUAAUAACUCCUAAGAGUUCCCAUCGACGGAGUUGGUUGGCACCUCGAUGUCGGCUCAUCGCAUCCUGGAGCUGAAGCAGGUUCCAAGGGUUUGGCUGUUCGCCAAUUAAAGCGGUACGCGAGCUGGGUUCAGAACGUCG
rnacentral:rRNA from 1 species